UUUAAAUUGUUUCUGUAAUGGCUGGCUCAGAGGCAGGAAUAUUUGGCAGCCCUGAAAUUAAAAGUGAUAAAUUUCCUUGCCAAGCUUUGAUCGAUAAUAGAGGCCUCAUCUGUUAAUCAAUAAGACAGUCUCUGCCUGUUUACUGUGCAUAUGUUGUUUGCUGUUGCCUUCAGUAUGAUGUCAGGUUUGCAUUCAAAGCAACUCAAGUGUGUAUAACCCACAUGGCUAUUCCCAAAACGCAUUACAGUGACAUCAUUCAGCCCCCAGUACAUUUAUAAAGCAUCAAUGGAGGGAUGGAGGAAGAGAGAAGGUCAUGCCAGCUGAGAACGACAGGUGCACAUGGACCUAGCAGAAUUUCCUGGGGCUGAUCCUGGAGCAGGGAGAACCUCAGCGACACAGCCCAGAGACUAUGAUUGCCACAUCUUUCCUGCUUGGAGCAGCUGGGUUUGGAUGCUCGCUAAGUGUCUGCAGGGAGGCAGAUCACAGUACAUAAACAAAAGAGACAAAAUUUCUGCCCUCAUGGGGCUUACUUUUGAGAGUGGAAGAUUUUUUAAAAAGUAAGUUAAUAUAAAACAGGCCAGGUGGUGAUAAGUGAUAAGAAGAGAUGAAUUGCAUAAAGACAGAUAGAGCACCAGAUGCUGCCAGUAUCCGGGCAGAGAGCUGGAGGAGGGCGGCCAGUAAGAAGCAAGGCCACAAUCUGGGACUGACUGCUCCAGGCAAAGUGAGAGUGAAGAGGCCAGUCGGAUGGAACAGAGUUGAGUCCAGUGAACAAGGAAAAAGAAGCACAGGAUCUACAGCCGGGAGAACUGGGCCCCAAACACUGCUCACUGCUACUCAACCUGCAAACUGGCAAUGGACCACAGCAGUCUGCUCCACCAAGCCAGGCAAAAAGAGAAAAAGAAAGGAGAAAAGAUGUCCACUCUGA
rnacentral:lncRNA from 1 species